UACGUAGGGGGCAAGCGUUGUCCGGAUUCAUUGGGCGUAAAGAGCGUGUAGGCGGCCAGGUAGGUCGGUUGUGAAAACUGGAGGCUCAACCUCCAGACGUCGAUGGAAACCGUCUGGCUAGAGUCCGGAAGAGGAGAGUGGAAUUCCUGGUGUAGCGGUGAAAUGCGCAGAUAUCAGGAAGAACACCUAUGGCGAAGGCAGCACUCUGGGACGGUACUGACGCUGAGACGCGAAAGCGUGGGGAGCGAACAGG
rnacentral:rRNA from 1 species